AAAUUGAAGAGUUUGAUCAUGGCUCAGAUUGAACGCUGGCGGCAGGCCUAACACAUGCAAGUCGAACGGUAACAGGAAACAGCUUGCUGUUUCGCUGACGAGUGGCGGACGGGUGAGUAAUGUCUGGGAAACUGCCUGAUGGAGGGGGAUAACUACUGGAAACGGUAGCUAAUACCGCAUAACGUCGCAAGACCAAAGAGGGGGACCUUCGGGCCUCUUGCCAUCGGAUGUGCCCAGAUGGGAUUAGCUAGUAGGUGGGGUAACGGCUCACCUAGGCGACGAUCCCUAGCUGGUCUGAGAGGAUGACCAGCCACACUGGAACUGAGACACGGUCCAGACUCCUACGGGAGGCAGCAGUGGGGAAUAUUGCACAAUGGGCGCAAGCCUGAUGCAGCCAUGCCGCGUGUAUGAAGAAGGCCUUCGGGUUGUAAAGUACUUUCAGCGGGGAGGAAGGGAGUAAAGUUAAUACCUUUGCUCAUUGACGUUACCCGCAGAAGAAGCACCGGCUAACUCCGUGCCAGCAGCCGCGGUAAUACGGAGGGUGCAAGCGUUAAUCGGAAUUACUGGGCGUAAAGCGCACGCAGGCGGUUUGUUAAGUCAGAUGUGAAAUCCCGGGCUCAACCUGGGAACUGCAUCUGAUACUGGCAAGCUUGAGUCUCGUAGAGGGGGGUAGAAUUCCAGGUGUAGCGGUGAAAUGCGUAGAGAUCUGGAGGAAUACCGGUGGCGAAGGCGGCCCCUGGACGAAGACUGACGCUCAGGUGCGAAAGCGUGGGGAGCAAACAGGAUUAGAUACCCCGGUAGUCCACGCCGUAAACGAUGUCGACUUGGAGGUUGUGCCCUUGAGGCGUGGCUUCCGGAGCUAACGCGUUAAGUCGACCGCCUGGGGAGUACGGCCGCAAGGUUAAAACUCAAAUGAAUUGACGGGGGCCCGCACAAGCGGUGGAGCAUGUGGUUUAAUUCGAUGCAACGCGAAGAACCUUACCUGGUCUUGACAUCCACGGAAGUUUUCAGAGAUGAGAAUGUGCCUUCGGGAACCGUGAGACAGGUGCUGCAUGGCUGUCGUCAGCUCGUGUUGUGAAAUGUUGGGUUAAGUCCCGCAACGAGCGCAACCCUUAUCCUUUGUUGCCAGCGGUCCGGCCGGGAACUCAAAGGAGACUGCCAGUGAUAAACUGGAGGAAGGUGGGGAUGACGUCAAGUCAUCAUGGCCCUUACGACCAGGGCUACACACGUGCUACAAUGGCGCAUACAAAGAGAAGCGACCUCGCGAGAGCAAGCGGACCUCAUAAAGUGCGUCGUAGUCCGGAUUGGAGUCUGCAACUCGACUCCAUGAAGUCGGAAUCGCUAGUAAUCGUGGAUCAGAAUGCCACGGUGAAUACGUUCCGGGCCUUGUACACACCGCCCGUCACACCAUGGGAGUGGGUUGCAAAAGAAGUAGGUAGCUUAACCUUCGGGAGGGCGCUUACCACUUUGUGAUUCAUGACUGGGGUGAAGUCGUAACAAGGUAACCGUAGGGGAACCUGCGGUUGGAUCACCUCCUUA
rnacentral:rRNA from 1 species